rnacentral:rRNA from 1 species
GCUCAGAAUGAACGCUGGCGGCGUGCUUAACACAUGCAAGUCGAACGAGAGAGUCUCUUCGGAGAGCGAGUAGAGUGGCGCACGGGUGAGUAACACGUGGAUAAUCUACCUUUGAAUCUGGAAUAACCUUUCGAAAGAAAGGCUAAUACCGGAUAAGGUCAAGAUGCCCCUGGGUGUUUUGAUGAAAGUCGGCCUCUGAUUCAAGCCGAUGUUUGAAGAUGAGUCCGCGCACCAUUAGCUUGUUGGUGGGGUAACGGCCUAUCAAGGCAACGAUGGUUAGCUGGUCUGAGAGGAUGAUCAGCCACACUGGAACUGACACACGGUCCAGACUCCUACGGGAGGCAGCAGUGAGGGAUUUUGCGCAAUGGGGGAAACCCUGACGCAGCAACGCCGCGUGAGUGAAGAAGGCCCUUGGGUCGUAAAACUCUGUCAACAGGGAAGAAGUUGACGUGUAUUAACAGUAUGCGUCAUUGAAGGUACCUGUGAAGGAAGCACCGGCUAACUCCGUGCCAGCAGCCGCGGUAACACGGGGGGUGCAAGCGUUAUUCGGAAUUAUUGGGCGUAAAGGGCACGCAGGCGGCCCUGUCAGUCAGAUGUGAAAGCCCGGGGCUUAACCCCGGACGUGCAUUUGAAACAGCAGGGCUUGAGUAUGGUAGAGGAGAGGGGAAUUCCUGGUGUAGAGGUGAAAUUCGUAGAUAUCAGGAGGAACACCGGUGGC